rnacentral:lncRNA from 1 species
GGGUCCUCCUGAAGUCACGCCACCCGGCUAGGGGGCGAGGAGCCUCCUACUGCCCAUCUUCCCGUCCACCACGCGCAGUUACUCACCUUUGUCUCCGGCCUGGAUUAAGGAUCCAGCCUUUCGCCUCCAUCCCUCUUGUCCCUCCUGAUCCUCCUGACCCUGUCUUUAAGAUCCCAGGAGCUGCGGUGAGGAGUGAGGCUGAGGGGCCCCUUUCAUCUGAUGCAGCGACUCCGCUUUCCUCCGGCGGCUCUGUCUAUGGCUGAGCUCUUUGAUCCUUUGAGAGAUGGUUUGACUUUUCCCGAGCAAAGAGCCUGCGUUGAAAAGCGGGGGUGGAAUUCAGUCCUCACAGAUAAUGAGGGGACAAGACCUAAUUGAACCGAGUAUUGCCGGGAAGGAAAAGGCAACGGGCCAAGCCUUUGACAGGGUGCGACACUGACUUUUAUCAUCGUUAUAGUCUUUAAAUCCUGGGAAACGAGUUGGCAACCCCAAAAUAAAGAAGUGUAAUGACGUCUGAUGACUUCACCCAAAUACAGACCAUUCCAAGAAAGACUUGCGCAGUUCUCAUGCGUGGUUGCGUUUUUGCAUAAAACUAAGAUUCCCUUUGUCCGCAUGUUUAAUAGCUUAAAAAUAAAUUGAGGUUUUUAUCGGAUAAAAGUAGCCAGGAAAAAGUGAUACAGUGAAAACGAUUACAGGAUAUUUAUAGACUUGUCUUUCAAGUUAUUAGAAGUCUCAUUCUAUCUGGGGGCAGUGAUGGUGGUGGUGGUAGUGGAACUUGUGAAUUGAGAUUCAUAGUGGAACUUGUGAAUUGAGAUUCAUCUCGAAACUGGAGGCAUGGCUGAGACUUCUAAUAAAGACAACCUCAGUCAACACUA